rnacentral:lncRNA from 1 species
GGAAAUAAAUGAUAAAAAAAUGUAUUUUGAGGUAAAAACAAAAAUAAACAUAUAGUUAUUUAUUUGACAUAAAGUGAUGAUUUAGAAAAACAUUUACAAAGACAGCAUGGGGGUUUAAUAUUGAAGUCAUACAACAGCCAGGGGACAUCUGUGAGACACCUGCAACAGCCUCAUGUCCCAGACACCAUGUGAUUAUACUACAGCCAGGGGACAUCUGUGAGACACCUGCAACAGCCUCAUGUCCCAGACACCAUGUGAUUAUACUACAGCCAGGGGACAUCUGUGAGACACCUGCAACAGUCUCAUGUCCCAGACACCAUGUGAUUAUACUACAGCCAGGGUACAUCUGUGAGACACCUGCAACAUUCUCAUGUCCCAGACACCAUGUGAUUAUACUACAGCCAGGGGACAUCUGUGAGACACCUGCAACAGUCUCAUGUCCCAGACACCAUGUGAUUAUACUACAGCCAGGGGACAUCUGUGAGACACCUGCAACAGUCUCAUGUCCCAGACACCAUGUGAUUAUACUACAGCCAGGGUACAUCUGUGAGACACCUGCAACAUUCUCAUGUCCCAGACACCAUGUGAUUAUACUACAGCCAGGGGACAUCUGUGAGACACCUGCAACAGUCUCAUGUCCCAGACACCAUGUGAUUAUACAACAGCCAGGGGACAUCUGUGAGACACCUGCAACAGUCUCAUGUCCCAGACACCAUGUGAUUAUACUACAGCCAGGGGACAUCUGUGAGACACCUGCAACAGUCUCAUGUCCCAGACACCAUGUGAUUAUACUACAGCCAGGGGACAUCUGUGAGACACCUGCAACAGUCUCAUGUCCCAGACACCAUGUGAUUAUACUACAGCCAGGGGACAUCUGUGAGACACCUGCAACAGUCUCAUGUCCCAGACACCAUGUGAUUAUACUACAGCCAGGGGACAUCUGUGAGACACCUGCAACAGUCUCAUGUCCCAGACACCAUGUGAUUAUACUACAGCCAGGGGACAUCUGUGAGACACCUGCAACAGUCUCAUGUCCCAGACACCAUGUGAUUAUACUACAGCCAGGGGACAUCUGUGAGACACCUGCAACAGUCUCAUGUUCCAGACACCAUGUGAUUAUACUACAGCCAGGGGACAUCUGUGAGACACCUGCAACAGUCUCAUGUCCCAGACACCAUGUGAUUAUACUACAGCCAGAGGGACUUGAAUUAAGCUGA